GUUGAUAACUGGCUGCAGCUGCGGCAAUUGGGCGGUUGAUUUACGGCAGUGACGAGGUGUGCGUGCAAUUGGCUGUGGUUGUGUUUAGUGGGCAGGUGGUCUUUUGGCGGCGAGCUGUACAGAUGAUUGUUGGCUGUGGCUAUCUGUGUGUCCCCCAACUUUGGGCAAUCCCCCCCAAAAAAAUUUUUUGAUGCGGUCCAAGGUAUAAGGUUGUCUUAUACAUGGGGGCCUGUUAUACACGGAAAAAUAUGGUAAUUGUGUGCAAAAACAUUCAUUAGUAGCAUUAUACAGUGGACGCUCGGGUUGCAAACGUGAUCUGUGUGGGAUGCAGCGUUCGCAACCCAUGUCUGCACAUGCAUGAGUUGUGAUUCGGUGCCUCUGCACAUGCCCAAAGUGCAAUUUAGUGCUUCUGCGCAUGCACGAUCACCGAAACCCAGAAGUAACCCAGUCCGGUACUUCCGGGUUUCGGUGGCCUGCAACCUGAAAAAACGCAACCUGAAGUGGCUGUAACCCGAGGUAUGACUGUAUAACAACAGCCGAUUUCAUACGCCUCCAAGACAUAAUAUUCAGAGCACUGUGGAGGGGCAGGAAAGAAGAAGAAGAAGAAGAAGAAGAAGAAGAAGAAGAAGAAGAAGAAGAAGAAGAAGAGGAGGAGGAGGAGUAGUUUGGAUUUGAUAUCCCGCCUUUCACUCCCUUUAAGGAGUUUCAAAGCGGCUAACAUUUUCCUUUCCCUUCCUCCCCCACAACAAACACUCUGUGAGGUGAGUGGGGCUGAGAGACUUCAAAGAAGUGUGACUAGCCCAAGGUCACCCAACAGCUGCAUGUGGAGGAACGGAGACGCGAACCCGGUUCACCAGAUUACGAGACUACCGCUCUUAACCACUACACCACACUGGAACCCAGCUUCCAGGUAAAAAAAUCCAACACAUGAAGAGCACGUUUGACUCUGGCCCAUGUUGGCCCUGCCUCUGUCCCCCACCACAUCACACCACUAGGCUGCCAGACUCUGCCUCUUGUCCCACCCACUCCUGCACAGGAGGGCCCCUAUCCUUUUUCAACCAUGGAAUAUUGCGGCUUGCGUCUGUUCUUCUCAAAUACACAAGCGCCUCAAAAAAAGGGGGGGGAGCAUCCAUUUGGAGCAAGGUCAACCAAGAGUUAAUUGUAUCCCACAUUCAGCCUGUGUUUCUAUUUUGUUUUUCCUUGUGUUUUUUGGAGGCUCAGCUGCUCUAGAUUCAAACCCAUAACUAUAUUAAAUUGAUGUAUUAUAAUUUGCAUAUCUGGUGCUACCUUUCUGCCUCCGUUCAUUAUAGAUAUGGGCUUCAGGCCUGGAAGGCUUUGGAGGCUUUUUGGUGGGGGGGGGGGGUGUUUCAUUUUUCCCCUUGAGUACCGCUUAAUUUGUGCAAUUAUUUUUCCACAGUGCACAUGCCACAUAUUGACAUGUGCCUUUUAAAGAGAAUACAGUUGCUUCUGAUUAAGCCACUGUCCCUAAGAAUAGAAUGGAUUCCCACCCCCACCCCCACCCCCCGGUCAUCUCCACUGUGGAAUGUCAAUGAUACUUUGCAUACAAAUCUAUUUAGCUUCUCCAAUAAAGAGACUGACAGAUGAAACCAAGUCCCUCUUCAGGAAAUUUGCUUUCAGGAUGUUGUGUAGAAGCUGCAGUUAGUUCCCUCCUACCACAAAUUAAAUGAUGGUGCACCAUUAGCCAUCGUGCUUUCCAAUGCAAAUCAAGCCCCAUGAUUCAGAAAUAUGGGCAUGCAAAAGUGAUCUCCCUUUGUGCUGUCUGUCUGUCUUUGGUUAGUUAGUUAGUUAGUUAGUUAUUCAUUCAUUCAUUCAUUCAUUCAUUAAUACCCUGCCCAUCUGGCUGGGUUUCCCCAGCCACUCUGGGUGGCUCCCAACAGAAUAUUAAAAACAUGAUAAAACCUCAAACAUUAAAAACUUCCAUAGACAGGGCUGCCUUCAGAUAUCUUCUAAAAGUCAGAUAGUUGUUUAUUUCCUUGACAUCUGAUGGGAGGGCAUUCCACAGGGCGGGUGCCGCUACCGAGAAGGCUCUCUGCCUGGUUCCCUGUAACCUCACUUCUCACAGGGAGGGAACCACCAGAAGGCCCUCGGAGCUGGACCUCAGUGUCUGGGCUGAACGAUGGGGGUGGAGACGCUCCUUCUGGUAUUGUAAAGGUAAAGGGACAAUUAGGUCCAGUUGUGGCCGACUCUGGGGUUGCGGCGCUCAUCUCGCUUUAUUGCCCGAGAGAGCCGGCGUACAGCUUCCGGGUCAUGUGGCCGGCAUGACUAAGCCGCUUCUGGCGAACCAAAGCAGGGCACGGAAAUGCCGUUUACCUUUCCACUGGAGUGGUACCUAUUUAUCUACUUGCACUUUGACAUGCUUUCGAAUUGCUAGGUAGGCAGGAGCAGGGAUUGAGCGAUGAGAGCUCACUGAAGGAAACCAUUGCUUCUGCACAUAACUGUGGCAUGAUGGGAAGUCUUGCUUCUAAGCUUUGUUUUGCUCACGCUGCACCCUCUCAGCCACCCAAUAAAAUCAUUGCUGCCUACUUUGCGAAAUUGCAGCACCAGCAGUAAACGUUAGGGGAGAUGUGGGCGGACUUAUUUCGGGCAUGCGCUGGCAUACCACGUAUCCCGAAAUAUUUUUGUCCCGUCCUGGCGAACUUAUUUCAGGCAUGCGCUGGCACACCACGUAUCCCGAAAUAUUUUUGUCUUAUUCACCCAGAACACCUCGCAAAUAAGAAAAGAAAGGAGGAGAUGAAGGAAAGCAUUGUUUCUGCACAUAACUGUGGCAUGAUGGGAAGUCUUGCUUCUAAGCUUUGUUUUGCUCACGCUGCAUAAACCUUGCUGAUGCUAAGACAUUCCAUCAUCACCCUGGUACGUCCUGUUCACCUUGAGUUCACACCAUAUCAAUCUGUACUUACCCCUCCUUGUACAUUCCUUUUUCGUACCACUCUGGUACGGGCAGUCCGAAACCAUGCCUGUGUAAACUCCGUGUUCCUUUUCCCAACCUUUAACCUGUCUAUGAUUAAUGUCUUAUAUGCAAUAAUUAAUGUCUUAUAUGCAACCCUUGCUUUGUACUUAUGUUAACCAAUCAGCAACAAGCACACGUGGCAAACACAGUAAUAUUCAAUAAAAGGGAGUCUCCGAGGCUUGCUCGAGAGAUGCCUCCCGUAUGACACCUACUUGCUCGUCUGUCGUUCAUUUUCAACCCAACAGCUCACCUUGUCGCAGGGAUUCGAACCGCUGACCUUCUGAUCGGUGAGUAAACAAGAUGAGCUUGAGCUCUUGGUACAGCAAACUAAAUAUGACAUAAUAGGCAUCACUGAAACCUGGUGGGAUGAGUCCCACGAUUGGAAUGUAAUAAUGGGGGGAUACAAACUAUUUCAGAGAAACAGACCAGACAAGAAAGGAGGAGGAGUGGCGUUAUAUGUCAGGGAUGUGUAUACCUGUGAAGAGAUCCAAGAUUUAGAACCUCAAAGCCAAAGUGAGAGCAUUUGGGUCAAAAUUAAGGGAGAGAAGAAUAACAGUGACCUCAUUGUGGGAGUUUACUAUAAAUCCCCAAGCCAAACGGAGGACAUAGAUGAUGCCUUCCUGGAACAGAUGGCCAAGCAUGCAAAAGGAAGGGAGAUAGUAGUAAUGGGGGACUUCAAUUACCCGGAUAUUUGUUGGAUGUCAAACUCAGCCAAGAGCAUAAGGUCAAACAGAUUCCUCACUGGCCUUGCAGACAACUUCAUUGUCCAGAAAGUGGGAGAAGCAACAAGAGGAACAGCCAUUUUAGAUCUGGUCCUAACCAAUGUUGAUGACCUGGUUAGUGGGGUAGAAGUGGAAGGAUCAUUAGGUGCGAGUGAUCAUGCUCUUCUGAAGUUUACUAUACAGCGGAAAGGAGCAGCCAAGCAUACUAGGACUCAAUUUCUUGACUUUAAGAAAGCCGACUUCAUAAAACUUAGGGAAGUGCUGGGUGAGAUCCCAUGGACAGUAAUACUAAAAGGAAAGGGAGUUCAUGAUGGCUGGGAGUUUGUUAAGAGGGAGAUAGUAAAAGCACAACGUCAGGCAAUACCAAUGAGACAGAAACAUGGAAGGUGCCUAAAGAAGCCAGGGUGGCUAUCUAAAGAACUUUUAACUGAGUUAAGAUUAAAAAGGAUGUGUACAAAAAUGGAAAAGGGGGAAACCACCAAAGAGGAAUUCAAACAAAUAGCCAGCACGUGUAGACACAAAGUCAGAAAAGCUAACGCACAGAAUGAACUCAGGCUUGCUAGAAAGGAUAAAAGCAACAAAAAGGCUUUUAUGGGUAUGUUCGUAGCAAAAGGAAGAACAAAGAAACAGUGGGGUCACUCAGAGGAGAAGAUGGUGAAAUGCAAACAGGGGACACAAAAAGGGCUGAACUCCUCAAUGCCUUCUUUGCCUCAGUCUUCUCCGAUAAAGAAAACAAUGCCCGACCUGAAGAAUUUGGAGCAAAUGAUUCAGCAAAGGAAACACAGCCCAGAAUAACUAAGGAGAUAGUACAAGAAUACUUGGCUAGUUUAGAUGUAUUCAAGUCUCCAGGGCCAGAUGAACUGCAUCCAAGAGUAUUAAAAGAACUGGCAGAUGUGAUCUCAGAACCACUGGCAGUCAUCUUUGAGAAUUCCUGGAGAACAGGCGAAGUCCCGGCAGACUGGAGGAGGGCAAAUGUUGUCCCUAUUUUCAAAAAGGGGAAAAGAGAGGACCCAAAUAAUUACCGCCCAGUCAGUCUGACAUCAAUAAAUAAAUGAAGCAGAAUCAGCCACUUGCCCCAGGCCACUCAAAUGAAACUUGAAACCAUGGUCAACCUUAGACCUUAGACCUUUCUUUUCUUUACCGUGAAAACCGUUUGUGGUAAAUCUAUUCUGUGUGUAUUAUAUUGUUAUAGAUUUGGGAGAGGGGACCCCCAAAACUCUAUAAAAUAAUAAAUGCUAGGAUUCUGAUUAUUUGGGAUGUGAAGGGAGAAAUACCAGCUGCAGAGGAAUCCCUUGGCUGGUUUAGUGAAGAGCAAAUCUAUUAACAUGACAAAAGGUAUUAAUGGGCCAUCCGACAAUCCUUUGGCCUAGGGAGUCAGAUGUUCCCAGUGUGAUGGGUGUGUGUUUGAGGUGAUAGGAAAAGGGAGUUUCAAGCAAAGGUUGCUGGAAGUAGAAGGAAGAAGGUCUGGGAUUCAUAUUUGGGGAGGUUGGCUGCAGGCUGGCUGGGAGAGAGGCCUUGGACUCCAUGGCUGCAUUUCCGUGAGGGUACAAGCCCCUCUUGAAAGAACCAUGCUGUAAGAUCUGGACUCGCUCCAUGCAUAUUUCUUAAAGCCACAACUGUCUCCGCUGUGUCUUCCAUUCUCCAAAGGAUACAGACCCUGGGUGAGUGCCGGAAACCCCAUGGGCUCUUGCCACUGCUCGGCAGAGAGAGAGGCAGGCACCCGACUUUUGUAAGAAUAUAUUAUUGUUUUUCCCAUGUUUCCUUUCUCUGCUAGAAAAAAAAGAAGUAGUCUUGGAUCUUCAUCUGGCAAGUUUUCUUCCCAAUACAGCUUAGCUUCUCAUGUUAUAUUUGAUUUACAGCAUGACAUUGCAGGAGAAAACUUUGUGUGGCUGGGUAGCAAUUUGGAGGAGCAUUAAUAACUUUUCAAGUACAUUUUCCUCAAGCCCUUUCAGAACAAGAGCUACUGAACCCCUGAGAAACACAACUAGGCAGGACUGCUGAGUACAGCUUCGUACUGCCCUAGGAGCGGUUUUCUUUAACAAUUGGUUGCAUUGUACUUUCUUUUCUUUUCUUUUCACUUGGCCAUUCAGAAGGCAGACCAAAUUAUUCUGCUCGCUGUGUCCUGAGCCAAAGGUUGUUGCUUUCUGCUACCGAGAUUCUAAAGGUGUGUGUGCCUUCCAUGAUGCCAAGAGAGCCAGAGGAACUAAUGUAAUCACAGUGGCUUGUUACAUGAUGGAAGGCGUUCAUACAUCAUUGCAAAUACUAUCAUAGCAGAUUGGCACUUUAUGAUGUACAAAUAGAACCAUCUGAUGCUCCAUCCACAGCCUCUGUUCAGGCGUUCACAUUAUCCACAUAUUAAGCAAGUGCACAAGAGACAGGAGAGGUAUGCGGCCAAGUCCCUCUCCUUCCAGCAUGUCCUCUUUGUCUUGUUAUCAGCCCUCCAUGGACUAGAGGUCUGAAGCAAGGAUCUUCUCAUACUUAAUGGAGACUCCCCACACAUUUUAGAACCCCAGAAGAUUGGGGUUCCAAAAAGCACAGGAAGCCUCCAUGAGUACAAGGGGCUUUCCACUUCCAACAGUCAUCCUCCGCAAAUUGGUGAAAGAUGCGAAUCCCAGUCUAAUUCCGCCUCUCGCCAUAUUCUUGUCCUUGUGGGCAACAGAGGGGUCAUGCGGUGGUCGAGCCUCUUCUAGAUCCAGCCCUCAGCCAUCAGGGUGUUCCAGUUGCUUUAGAAAGCGUGAGAGCUCCAAGUGCCAGAUGUACGCAUGCUUUGGCCAAGAAGCGUGGUCCUCUAAGUCCAAGGCACAUGACUGAAGGCAUUUAUGUACCACACAUCUGCCAGGACUAAGUGCAUACCCCACAAGUGUUCUGGAAAAAAUAGGAACAUCCUGUUUUUUCCCACAAGAGCAUGGUGGUCAUUUUGGUCAUUGAUCUCACGUGAUUUCGUGCUGAGAUGUUGCCCAGAAAACCCCCCUGCUUUUUCAGGGUUGUGAUCUGACAGGGUACCCUAAAACAUGUGUUUUGGGGCACCAUGAAAGCACAGCCCUGAAAAAAAGUAUGUCUUUUGGGCUCUCUGAUCUCAUACAAGUCACAAACAGGUGUCUCCCGAUUUUGGGACUCAACGUGUUAGAGGGUAUGUCAGUGCUGACACCCAAAAGACUAUUUCAAGGUAAGAGAACCUUGGUUUAGCCCAUUGUUCCAGUCACUACUAGGUGGGCAUCUGUUUUGGGCUUCAGGGCAAAAGCUGCGUUUUCAAUGAGAUGUCUCCUAGAAACUCCCUUACUUCUGAGAAUGUUGCCUCCUUUGAGUUGUCUUUCAUUCUAUUUCUCCAUUUAGUGCCUUUUUACUCUUUCGCAGAGCUUUGCUCUCUUCCACUAAAUGACCUCAGUUCAAAUAUUGAAUAUGAUGGCUACAUGAUGAUGUCACUGUAAGGCAACACUUAUUGCAUUGGCCGAGUCACAUGGGUCAUCUCAGCCAAUCAGAUCCUCAUUAUCUUCAUCUCUGUCAUCAUAGUACCGCCCACUGUUGAAAGGAACUGUGCUUUUUGGUCAUGGACACAGCUCUUGCUGUUCCAGGUCAGCCCUAAUGGUCAUAUGUUCUAUUGCUUUAGGGAUUCGCACAAAACCUACUAUUAGGCCAAUCAUCACAUAGCAAAAAAAAAUGGGGCUUUUCUUUUCUAGGAAGAAGCAAACCUUAAGCUAAAAAAACAACAACCACAAAGCAACCACACAAACAUUGUUUUCUGAGUGGGUGGAAGUAGAGUUGCGAACUAGUUACAAAACUCCAAUGUUCCAAGAUGUGCAAGUGUUUCAAAAGAACUAAAUUAGCAGCUUAUAUAAGAAGAUUGCAAUUGGCACUUACAUGACUCUUCCUGAGUGGCUAUGGAAUCGCUCCCACUGCUGAACAUAGAAAAUAAAAAUAAGCUCCUUUUACUUUUCUUUCUGUGCUGUGAACUCACUCACUCUUGUCCUGCCUCCCUAGAUGUUAAACAAAGUAGCAGAUGGUGUGUUCCUACAAAGUGCAUAUGCACUGCACUGCCACAAACGGAAAAACAUAAAUUUGUUUAC